CAGUAGCCGCGGGAAUACGUAGGGUGCAAGCGUUAAUCGGAAUUACUGGGCGUAAAGCGUGCGCAGGCGGUUUGUUAAGACAGAUGUGAAAUCCCCGGGCUCAACCUGGGAACUGCAUUUGUGACUGGCAAGCUAGAGUCUGGCAGAGGGGGGUGGAAUUCCGCGUGUAGCAGUGAAAUGCGUAGAGAUCGGGAGGAACAUCAGUGGCGAAGGCGGCCAUCUGGGACAACACUGACGCUGAAGCACGAAAGCGCGGGGAGCAAACAGGAUUAGAUACCCCCGUAGUCCCUGUCUCUUAUAC
rnacentral:rRNA from 1 species